CCUACGGGAGGCAGCAGUGAGGAAUAUUGGACAAUGGGCGCAAGCCUGAUCCAGCCAUGCCGCGUGCAGGAUGACGGUCCUAUGGAUUGUAAACUGCUUUUGCACAGGAAGAAACAACAUUACGUGUAAUGUCUUGACGGUACUGUGAGAAUAAGGAUCGGCUAACUCCGUGCCAGCAGCCGCGGUAAUACGGAGGAUCCAAGCGUUAUCCGGAAUCAUUGGGUUUAAAGGGUCCGUAGGCGGUUUAGUAAGUCAGUGGUGAAAGCCCAUCGCUCAACGGUGGAACGGCCAUUGAUACUGCUAGACUUGAAUUAUUAGGAAGUAACUAGAAUAUGUAGUGUAGCGGUGAAAUGCUUAGAGAUUACAUGGAAUACCAAUUGCGAAGGCAGGUUACUACUAAUGGAUUGACGCUGAUGGACGAAAGCGUGGGUAGCGAACAGGAUUAGAUACCCUGGUAGUCCACGCCGUAAACGAUGGAUACUAGCUGUUGGGAGCAAUUUCAGUGGCUAAGCGAAAGUGAUAAGUAUCCCACCUGGGGAGUACGUUCGCAAGAAUGAAACUCAAAUGAAUUGACGG
rnacentral:rRNA from 1 species